rnacentral:piRNA from 1 species
UGAGCACCGUAAGCUUCCUGGG